CACUGCCAUUAUACUGUGUGUUGACUUUUUUAUAACUGUCUGUCUGUGUCCACCUCCUCCUCACUAGGCUGGCCACUCCAUGGGCACUGAGAUGUGUGUGAUUUUCCUUUGUCAUGCUACCAUCUAGAACUGUCCUUGUCACAUGGCAGGCUCUUGCUGAUGAACCUGGGCUUAAAGAAUUAAACAAGGAGCGUUAUCACCUACUUGAAUCAAGGCCCAGACACGUCUUUCCCAGACUCAGCCAACGGUCAUCUGCCAGCCCGGCUACCACAGCCCACCCGACCUCCAGCGAGGAUGGCAGAAAAUGCAUCCUGACAUCACAGGAAGCACCCAAGGAAAAGUCUUUCCAAACCUCUAGACACUGAAGUCAUGAUAAUCAGCUUUACUUUGUGAAUGUACAACUGGUAUUUAUGGUGACAGGAAUCCAAAGAGAACUAAAAAUCACAGAAAGUUGACUCACAAAAUCAAACACAACAGAGAUGUACUGAACUGUGGACAAAAUCAUGGGCUUUGAAGCACUUCAUGGGCGAUGAACAGAACCAGCUGUAAACGAAGUGAAUGCCAUGAAAACGGACAGAAGGAGAGGCUCCAGCAAAGCCGUGAGGAUGUCUGCAAAAACUGACCUCCGGGGCAGGCCACAGCGGCUGGCGCGGAUGGUUUAUUUGUGGGCACACGUUACAGAAAGGUUGUGGAACAAAACUGUCUCUGAAGAUACAGGGAAUCACGGCAGGCACAUGCCGUCUGUGGGGCCCGAAGAAAGCAGAGUGGGGAGCCAUUCUGCGUGUCUGUCUCGUUGCCAUUUGGCUGAGUUUUCUCUCAAGGCACCUUGAAAAGAGAACCCUUAUUUUAUGCAUCCUUCGCAUGUCUUAGAAGCUUUCUAUGGCCUGUGCUGAGGAAAGGUUACUCAGAAUUAGAGGAGAUCACUUUGGACAUUGAUGGCCAAGGAGUGAGGGCUGACUUUCCAGGGAGGAGGAAGUGAUCAAAUGGAAAGGUCACAGAGGUCAAGACUGCAUGGACUCCACAUUCCCACCAAUAACAGGAGGAAGCCUCUCUUCCUGUGUCCCCUCCCACCUACUCAGUGGCUGGACUUCUACCAUGGAUGUGGCAUGUCUGUGGUUUGACUCCAUUUAAUUGAUUAAGCUGCAGAUAUAAAGACCACCAUGACAUGAUCCUUGUCACACUGUCUACUGAAAGACAGUUUUAAAACUACUAAAGGGAGAACACCUUUUCUGGAGGGGGACAAUUCUUUAAGAUGUUGUUCAUCAUUCUAUCCUUUAGUGGGAAUCGAUGGCUAUAUCAAUACUGUUUGUGAGAUCCUAAUUUGAAAAGAAAACAGUAGGCGGACUUUAGAUGUCUGCCGGAAGAGCGUGCAGGACGGGGGGGGGGAGAGGGAGACUAUGAGAAGGAGAACAUGAGUGGAUGAAAGAACAGGAGGCGGACGCUUGGAAUUGUCAGCAGGUUUCAACACGCGGAACAGCAACGGACUUCCUAACUGACUGAUCAUUCCCCCCAGAAAAUCCCAUCCACUGUCCCUCUCCCUGCAUCUGUCAAAACUCUUUCCCAGACUUGAAAUAUACAGACAUUUGCAAUAACUGUAAAAGCGAAACCCACAACUGUAAGGCCUCCUAAUCCACUGGUGUCACCAAUGUAAGGUACACAGCUCUACCCCUAGCCGAAGUCACUGAUUCCUGGACCUGGUAAAUUGGGAAAUCCUGUCUUCCCGGAAACGUAGGACCUUCCCUGGGUUGGCAGCCUAGAGCCUCUGGGCUCCUCCUAGCCUUUCCUUGGACAUAGAGGAGAUGACCCUGGCUUUUUGUACUGAAGUCUGCACACCUAGAUAAGAAGUCAUAUCCUCCAUCUACCCACCGGGGAGAAGAUAACACAUCUAGCCUGCUGGAAUCGUUAAGCUGCUGGCAGGAAUUGCUCAGUUUUCUUAAAGAAAGUAGUGACAGGCACCCUGAAGACCAAGCUAGGAUCUUUGAAGUUCAAAAAAGACCAAAACUAUAUUAAAAUUCAGGUUGAAAAACAUGAACCACAGCAAAGAAGCAGUUCUGUUUUCCCUCAACUUGCCAGCAUGCUGAGCCGGGCCCCGGGCUUGGAGUAGACAGGCUGUGCAGGCCGGUGCAUCUCCUUCGGAGAGGACUGAGUGAAGCCGCGUCUUCGCGCACCUACACCCAGAGCAGUUCCAGACACAAUCACCGGGACAGUGCGGAGAGUUACACCCAGGGCCACGGAGGUCGUCAGAGCUUCGAAAGGCUCUUCAUGUCAACAGUCUCGCAUGACUGACAAUUCUUCUUAAGUAUUUUUUUAAAGGAGAUAAACAAAUAAAAGAGACACUGGAGAGGCCAGGUGCCACUGUCUGAGGCUGCCCAACAAGCAAACACAGAGGCCGAUUCUACACGGAUUCUCUCAGGAAUGUGAUAGACCUCAGGUCCCUCUCAGUCGGGGCUCUCUCUACCACAUCACAGCGUCUCCUACAACAAGAAACAGUCAGAAGAGGCACAUAUGUCCUUAGGUGGAACAGGAGACACGAGCCUGUCGUUAAGACGUUGGGAGCCUCGCAGCCGCUACUCAGGCCACCGAUGCCAAUAUUCAAUGGACCAUAUCUUCGAUUCUACUCCCCAAGAUCAAUGGAAACUCUCAUGGAGUAAAGACAUCGGUGUGGAACUGCGGGUGGGGCCCUUUAGGAGCAGGAAGCUUCAGUCUGACUGAGGCAAGUCAUGGUGUGGAGUACUGGGUGGCACAUCCUGUCACCCUGCUCUCUGUCCGGGCUGCAGACUGCUAUUUCAAGUGUGACCAACGACAUUUCUUUUCAGAAAAUACACCUUUAAACAUUUUAGGAGCCAAAAAGUAUUUUUAAGGAAAAAAAAGAGAAAAUAUAGAGCAAAGUAGAAACAGGGUGAAAGUCAGGACAGGCUGUCAAUCCAGAGGCCUGGGCUUCGAGCCUGCUCUGUCCCUUACACACUGUAGUCGUGGGCAAGUCACUCAAAACCCUUCUGAGCCCUGGUUUCCUCAAAUAUAACACAAGGAUGGAGACGCCUGUCCUGCAGGCAGGAAGAUGUCAAAAUUAAACCGGGUGUCUUACUCUGCUUGGGCUGUCAUGACAAAAUACCACAGAAUGAAUGUUUAAAUAACAGAAAUUUAUCUUCUCACAGUUCUAGAGGCUGGAAGAAGUUCAAGAGCAGGCUGCCAGCGUGAUCGAGUUCUGGUGAACACCAUGCUCCUGGUGUACAGAGAGCCAACUUUUCACUGUGUCCUCACACGGAGAGAAAGGCAAGUGUACGUGUUCCAGCUCUCCAGGGCCUCUUCUCAGAAGGGCACCCAUCCCACCCAAGGGCCCUGCUCUCAUGACACCAUCCAACCCGAAUCACCUCCCAAAGACGCAUCUCCAAAUACCACCAUGUUGGGGGUUCGGGCUUCAGUAGAAGAAUUUUGGUAAGACUCCAACAUUCCAUCUAUAAUGUGAGGUAACACAUGCAGGGCCUCAGCAAGCAUCUCUACUGCUUUGUUUUAGAAAUUAGAAUUUGUCCCAGGAAUGGCACGGCAUCUAGUUGUGAGAUCAUCUCCGUAAGUCGAUCGCAUUAAAAUAGUAAUUGAUGAGUCAAUGACAUUUCAUCAAUAAAUAAGUACCUCCAUGUAAUAUUUCUGAGUACCAGAAAAUCCAGGAAAAGGUGAAGACUCAAUGCUCCUGUCUCUGUUUACAAACUGCGGUUAAACCCCCCAGGCUUCAUGAGUGGAUUCGGUUCUUGAAAGGGACAUUUCUGAGGUACCGAUUCUAGAAGCCUGGGCAACAGGUGGUGUACUACACCUCCCAAAAUGUGCUACAAACAGCACAGACCACCGAAAUCGGACGUUUGCAUCUGUGUGUUUAUAACAACGUAUCCUUAGGUUUUAUUGCCUUUCUGGAUCUCUGUUGCCCACAGAUGUUGUUUUAUUGGGCAGAUUCUAAGAAAAGUACCUGCCAUAGCUGUUGGGACUUCAUGGGGUCACAAUAAGUUACUAGGCUACUGGACGACCUGGCUUCUAGUCCUGAUUUUGAGACCGGGGGCAAAUCAUUAAACUCUCUGAUCCUCAGCUGAAGGAACAUUUCCUGAACUCCCAGCUGAGACCUGGGCUCCAGACUUCUUAGUGUGGCCACUUGCUACCUGUUUCAGCCUCGGCUAUUUCUCAAGUUCCUCCCCAACCAUAAAUAGAAGUAAUAGAGUAACCAGCUAUGGACGAAAUGGGCAUUCCUGAUCCAGGAAAAGAACUCCCAAUGUGCUACUCAGCAUUAUCACAGAUGAACAAAUGGUCACAUCCCAGGUGGUAGGGGUCCAGCUGGGAUUUGAGUCCAGGUCUGGCUCCAGAGCCUGUGCUUGCCACUCCACCUGGGCUGCUGCUCUGCUGUUUCGAAGCCUGCUGUUAAUACUACUAAGUCGUCACUAAAAGUCUCUCCAUAAAAGCCCAUGUGUGAAAUGUCUUUUGCAAUUUGGUGGUAGGAAAAGCUUUGUCUCCUACAAGAAAUCACUAUGUUUCCUCUUUUUGAAAAUAAGAGUUAUGCAACUCAUCAUGUGUUCUUUUCGUUUUGGCUGCCAGGAAGCUCGGAGUCAAACUGUGUGCUCAAUCACUGCCACUGAGUCGUUUCCUUCUUCCUUUGUCUUUGUUCCUUAUUUUGUCCUUUUAAUUCCUUUUUUUACUAACAUUUUCGUGUGUGUCUCUUGUUGAUAGACGCCUCAAUGGUAUUUGGACAGUGGUGGGUAGAGAUGAAAUAAGCAAAUACAAAUCUAAAAUUUACAAGAAAGACUUAAGUUUUGAACCCUACCUGUUGCACUUGCUAAAAGAAAAUGGUCAAGGGGACAUUUAAAAGAAAUAAUUUAAGGGCUACUUUAAAGGAGGAAAAAGAAAAAGGAAAUCGACAGAAAAACAGAAUGACCAGCACUCACAGAGGCCAAGUCAAAUAAAAACUGCAAUAAAUAUG